rnacentral:rRNA from 1 species
AAAACAAUUACCCGCGCCCCUAGUGGUGGUCGAUAUUAUUGAGCCUAAAACGUCCGUAGCCGGUCUUUUAAAUCCUUGGGUAAAUCGGGCAGCUUAACUGUCCGAAGUCCGGGGAGACUGGGAGACUUGGGACCGGGAGAGGUCAGAGGUACUUCUGGGGUAGGGGUAAAAUCCUGUAAUCCUGGAAGGACCACCGGUGGCGAAGGCGUCUGACUAGAACGGAUCCGACGGUGAGGGACGAAGCCCUGGGGCGCAAACGGGAUUAGAUACCCCGGUAGUCCAGGGUGUAAACGCUGCGGGCUUGGUGUUGGGGGUCCUUAGUGGGCGCCCAGUGCCGGAGAGAAGUUGUUAAGCCUGCUGCUUGGGGAGUAUGUCCGCAAGGAUGAAACUUAAAGGAAUUGGCGGGGGAGCACCGCAACGGGAGGAGCGUGCGGUUCAAUUGGAUUCAACGCCGAAAAACUCACCAGGAGCGACGGAUAUAUGAAGGUCAAGCUGAUGACUUUACCUGAUUUUCC